rnacentral:lncRNA from 1 species
GCAAUACUGCUUUAGUUAAUUAAUAUUGAUUUAAAGCCAUUGUUUUGUUCUUCAUAAGUUAUCUGUUGGGCUUAAAAUUUUUAGAAACCCAAUUCACCCCCCCUCUUGGGUUGCAUAGCUGGGCAACAACCUUCAUGGACUCCAUUUCAAAUUUCAUGGCCUCUAGCCAUUUCUCAGAGUCAGGUCUCUGCAUUGCAUCCAUGUAGGUGAUCGGAUCUUCAUCAUUUUCAUCAAGUUCGAUAGGAUC